rnacentral:rRNA from 1 species
UACGCUGGCGGCACGCCUAACACAUGCAAGUCGAACGAAGUAGCAAUACUUAGUGGCAGACGGGUGAGUAACAUGUGGGUAUCUACCCUUUGGCCUGGAAUAACACGAGGAAACUUGUGCUAAUACCGGAUAAGUCUUUACGGAGAAAGCUUUAUGCACCAUUGGAUGAGCCCGCACUUGAUUAGUUUGUUGGUAGGGUAAUGGCCUACCAAGACUAUGAUCAAUAGCUGAUUUGAGAGGAUGAUCAGCCACAUUGGGACUGAGACACGGCCCAAACUCCUACGGGAGGCAGCAGUGGGGAAUCUUGCACAAUGGAGGAAACUCUGAUGCAGCGAUGCUGCGUGAGUGAAGAAGGCCUUUGGGUUGUAAAGCUCUUUCGUCGGGGAAGAAAAUGACUGUACCCGAAUA